rnacentral:rRNA from 1 species
GUUACAGGUGGAGGCGUAGCGAAAGCGAGUCUGAAUAGGGCGUUUAGUAUGCAGGGAUAGACCCGAAACCCCGGCGAUCUAAUCAUGGACAGGUUGAAGCGAGGGUAACACCUCGUGGAGGACCGAACCAGUUAAAGGUUGAAAACUUUUUGGAUGAUCUGUGAUUAGGGGUGAAAAGGCCAAUCAAGCUGGGUGAUAGCUGGUUCUCCUCGAAAUAUAUUUAGGUAUAGCGUCAGGUAAAUUAAUUCACGGAGGUAGAGCACUGAAUGGGCUAGGGGUCCUUACCGGAUUACCAAACCCAAAUAAACUCCGAAUGCCGUUGAAUUGUACCCUGGCAGGCAGACAUGGGGUGAUAAGGUCACAUGUCGAAAGGGAAAGAGCCCAGACCAUCAGCUAAGGUCCCUAAAUCUACGCUCAGUGGUAAACGUUGUGAGGUUACUUUGACAACUAGGAGGUUGGCUUAGAAGCAGCAAUCCUUUAAAGAAAGCGUAAUAGCUCACUAGUCUAGUGACCUUGUCGCGGAAGAGUACAACGGGGG